rnacentral:rRNA from 1 species
AUUGAACGCUGGCGACAUGCCUUACACAUGCAAGUCGAACGGCAGCACGGGUGCUUGCCCCUGGUGGCGAGUGGCGAACGGGUGAGUAAUACAUCGGAACAUGUCCUGUAGUGGGGGAUAGCCCGGCGAAAGCCGGAUUAAUACCGCAUACGAUCUACGUAUGAAAGCGGGGGACCUUCGGGCCUCGCGCUAUGGGGUUGGCCGAUGGCGGAUUAGCUAGUUGGUGGGGUAAAGGCCUACCAAGGCGACGAUCAGUAGCUGGUCUGAGAGGACGACCAGUCACACUGGGACUGAGACACGGCCCAGACUCCUACGGGAGGCAGCAGUGGGGAAUUUUGGACAAUGGGCGAAAGCCUGAUCCAGCAAUGCCGCGUGUGUGAAGAAGGCCUUCGGGUUGUAAAGCACUUUUGUCCGGAAAGAAAUCCUUGGCCCUAAUACGGUCGGGGGAUGACGGUACCGGAAGAAUAAGCACCGGCUAACUACGUG